rnacentral:rRNA from 1 species
GACGAACGCUGGCGGCGUGCUUAACACAUGCAAGUCGAACGGAAAGGCCUGCUUUCCCUUGUGGAUUGCGGGUACUCGAGUGGCGAACGGGUGAGUAACACGUGAGUGAUCUGCCCCCAACUUGGGUAUAAGCCUGGGAAACUGGGUCUAAUUCCCGAUAGGACUGCAGGGUGGUGCCUGUGAUGGAAAACGAUUUUCUAGUGGUUGGGGAUGAGCUCGCGGCCUAUCAGCUUGUUGGUGGGGUAAUGGCCUACCAAGGCGGCGACGGGUAGCCGGCCUGGGAGGGUGGACGGCCACAUUGGGACUGAGAUACGGCCCAGACUCCUACGGGAGGCAGCAGUGGGGAAUAUUGCACAAUGGGCGGAAGCCUGAUGCAGCGACGCCGCGUGGGGGAUGACGGCCUUCGGGUUGUAAACUCCUUUCGACCGCGAGGAAGCCACCUGGUUGGAAGGGUGGUGACGGUAGUGGUAGAAGAAGCACCGGCUAACUACGUG